rnacentral:rRNA from 1 species
ACGUUGGAUACUGGAGCGGGGAAGGAUUUCGUGCCAACGGCACUCGUACACGAGUUGUUCGGAUACUGAGCACAACGUUACACCGUUUUGUUAGGAAAGUGAAGGUGCGUCGGCGGCGUGCGUUUUUUUUUUGCUUUGUUUUUUUUUUUUAAAAAAAAAAAAAAAAAAGGCGCCCCCCCCUGGGCCUUUUUGAAAAGGGAAAAA